GGGGUUUGUCUGGCGAAAUUUGCAAGUGGAUUUAAUACUCAGGCACUGCAUGGAACAUACAGCGAUGGCAGUGAUGAUUUUGGGAUCUUUCAGAUAAAUGACAAAUAUUGCAGAAAAGGAGCAAAAGUAACUUGUGGUGUCAACUGUACAGAUCUUGUUUCUGAUGAUAUUGUUCCAAGUGCUAAGUGCGCGACAGAAAUACAUAAGAGAGAGGGAUUUUCACAUUGGCCUGCAUGGAGGAACAACUGCAGAGACAAAAGUCCUACAUGGUAUAUACAGAAAUGCGAGUUGCAGUCGAAUUCUAAAUCAUAGCUGUCGACUUAAUCAAUCUUCAGAUAAAAGAUGAAAUAAACUGAAAUACUGACAAA